GCUCCGCUGGCCUAGUGGUUAGAGCGUCCGCCUCGGAUGCUGGAGGUCGUGGGUUACAUCCCAGGUCGAGUCA